rnacentral:rRNA from 1 species
GACGAACGCUGGCGGCGUGCCUAAUACAUGCAAGUAGAACGCACAGUUUAUACCGUAGCUUGCUACACCAUAGACUGUGAGUUGCGAACGGGUGAGUAACGCGUAGGUAACCUGCCUGGUAGCGGGGGAUAACUAUUGGAAACGAUAGCUAAUACCGCAUAAUAUUAAUUAUUGCAUGAUAAUUAAGUGAAAGGUGCAAUUGCACCACUACCAGAUGGACCUGCGUUGUAUUAGCUAGUAGGUGAGGUAACGGCUCACCUAGGCGACGAUACAUAGCCGACCUGAGAAGGUGGUCGGCCAACCCGGGACUGGGACACGGCCCAGACUCCUACGGGAGGCAGCAGUAGGGAAUCUUCGGCAAUGGACGAAAGUCUGACCGAGCAACGCCGCGUGAGUGAAGAAGGUUUUCGGAUCGUAAAGCUCUGUUGUAAGAGAAGAAAGGGUGUGAGAGUGGAAAGUUCACACUGUGACGGUAUCUUACCAGAAAGGGACGGCUAACUACGUG